rnacentral:lncRNA from 1 species
UGGGAGCACAGGUGAAAGCAGUUCACCCCUGUUAGGCCUUCAUGUGAGGGUUGACUGCCACUGAGGAAGGAUCUCCUUCUGGGGGGUUCCCUACAAACCCAGCACCUUCAUGAUAGGGGUGAGCAAUCUUCUCCCUCCCUUCCCACCUUUAUAGCACCUUUCUAUUGUGCUGGUCCUUCCACCUCUUGUGCAACACCUAUUCCAUUGUGUUUAUCUUUCCAAUUGCUACAAUUUGGAAAUAACAUUCAUGAACCUCAAAGUGUUACUGACUCAGGCAGGAAUUUUGAUUGGACUUCUUAAACCUCCAGUAGAACCACGUGGCUUUGACUGCUGAAUGUCAGCACAUGAAUGAAUGAAUAUACUUAAGAGGCUCUUGUCUCACAUGUAAGACAACCAAUUUCCAUGCUCAGUAAUCACAGUUUCUUAGACAGUAGAGCUAGAAACAUGUUUAAAUGCUGCCUGUCUGCCUCAGUUUGUCCUUAAGACCUGAAACUGAAAGCAUGUUGCAUGUUGUUGUGUAUAAACACAUACACUCAAAAGGUGUAGGCAUAGGCAGGUAAUUUAAUUAUAUGUGUGACUUGACUUUUCCUCGAAUUGUAAACCAUGACUGAGGAAUAGAGUUCCUCAUUGAUCUUCAGUUUCUGAAAUGUCUGCUGGAUGGACCUGGGACAGAGGGACUACACUGAUGAGUGGUGAAGUCACUAGACUUUGGAAUGCUUUGAAAAGUGUAUUGAAUUCACUGUCCAGCAAAUACACUGGAAAAUCACCAUUCUUUUUUAUUGGUGAGGCUGUUGCAGCUCCAUUAAGAAAACUUGCUUUUGUAAAUGCUUGAGGUAAUCUCACUCUUUGGGCCCUCCUUGGAAAAUAAUGUGCUUCAAGUUUUUUAUACUAGACUGUCAUCUUGCAUAUUGUGAAGACUUCAAGGCCGGAUAACUCUCAGACUGUGAAGAAAGAAGCUCAACUGUUUGAGAAAUUUCUCUAAAUGCAAAUAUUUACUUGUAUUUAACUGAUAAUACUCCAACAGUUAACUUAAGAUUUUAACCUUCCUAAUAUCUCAUGGACUUAAUUAGAAACUAAAUAUAUUUUUUUAUUUUGUAAUCCAGAAAAUACACAGAUUGAGAGAAGACUGAAGCAACAGUUAUCCUGGAUGUUUAGUUUAUAUUUUUUCACAAAGAAUAAGUUUCCUUCCUUUUCUUUCUUUCUUACUCUGCUCUUUGUUAAAUGCCUUACUUUAAAAUUUACUGCAAUGUAUUCCCUUCCCACACCCAAAUUUGAAGUUUUACAAUACCUAAAGUAACUGUUAAUCAGGAAGAUUACAUGGUAAUAAUUCUCUGCAUUUUCAGUAAAUUGUGAGAUUCUUCUUUUAGAUUAACUUUGGUUGUACAGUGUAUCAGUAAUCUCACAGAAUUUUAGAAUAAAAGUAAUGUAUACAUUAAGUACA